UAGGUUGUCAUCACAUGGUCAAACUUCUCCUC
rnacentral:piRNA from 1 species